ACGCUACGGACUUAAAAUCCGUCGACUUUAUAAGUCGUGAGGGUUCAAGUCCUUCUAUCCCCA
rnacentral:tRNA from 1 species